AUUGGAAGUAAAAGUCGUAACAAGGUUUCCGUAGGUGAACCUGCGGAAGGAUCAUUCACAAUGAGUGUUUUAUGGCACUCUUUAAAAAUCCAUAUCCACCUUGUGUGCAAUGUUUGUUGGGAGAGAGGCAACUCUUUCCCUUCACAAAUAUCAACCUAUAUCUUUAACAACAUUCGUCUGAUAACAUAUUAUGAAUAUACUUAAUUCAAAAUAUAACUUUCAACAACGGAUCUCUUGGCUCUCGCAUCGAUGAAGAACGCAGCGAAAUGCGAUACGUAAUGUGAAUUGCAGAAUUCAGUGAAUCAUCGAAUCUUUGAACGCAUAUUGCGCUCUUUGGUAUUCCGAAGAGCAUGCUUGUUUGAGUAUCAGUAAACACCUCAACCUCCUCUUGUUUUUUCAAAAGGAGGGUGGACUUGAGCUAUCCCAACAACCUUCACCGGUAGGCGGGCGGCUUGAAAUGCAGGUGCAGCUGGACUUUUAUCUGAGCUAAAAGCAUAUCUAUUUAGUCCUCGUCAAACAGGAUUAUUACUAUUGCUGCAGCUAACAUAAAGGAUAAUUGUCCUCAUUGCUGACUGAUGCAGGAUUUUACGACACUUUAUGUGUUGUUCAACUCGAUCUCAAAUCAAG
rnacentral:rRNA from 1 species